GGCUCAGAACGAACGCUGGCGGCGUGCUUAACACAUGCAAGUCGAACGCGAAAGGGACUUCGGUCCUGAGUAAAGUGGCGCACGGGUGAGUAACGCGUAGAUAACCUGUCUUCAUGUCUGGAAUAAUACGCCGAAAGGGGUACUAAUACCGGAUAUUCUUGCUUUUCAUAAGUUAUGCAAGCAAAGGUGGCCUCUGCAUAUGCUACUGCAUGAAGAGGGGUCUGCGUACCAUUAGCUAGUAGGUGGGGUAAUGGCCUACCUAGGCGACGAUGGUUAGCGGGUCUGAGAGGAUGAUCCGCCACACUGGCACUGGAACACGGGCCAGACUCCUACGGGAGGCAGCAGUGAGGAAUAUUGCGCAAUGGGGGAAACCCUGACGCAGCGACGCCGCGUGAAGUGAGGAAGGCCUUCGGGUCGUAAAGCUCUGUCAAGAGGAAAGAAGUGUACAAUGGCUAAUACCUGUUGUAUUUGACGGUACCUCUAAAGGAAGCACCGGCUAACUCCGUGCCAGCCGCAGC
rnacentral:rRNA from 1 species